rnacentral:rRNA from 1 species
CUGCGCCACAAGUGGCAACCAUGAUUAUUGGGCCUAAAGCAUCCGUAGCCGGCGCUGUAAGUUUUCGGUUAAAUCUGUACGCUCAACGUACAGGCUGCCGGGAAUACUGCAGCGCUAGGGAGUGGGAGAGGUAGACGGUACUCGGUAGGAAGGGGUAAAAUCCUUUGAUCUAUUGAUGACCACCUGUGGCGAAGGCGGUCUACCAGAACACGUCCGACGGUGAGGGAUGAAAGCUGGGGGAGCAAACCGGAUUAGAUACCCGAGUAGUCC